CCUCCCCUUUCCCUCCUCCAGGCUUCUCCCUCCCUCCUUUUCUUCCUCACUAUCUCCUCCCUCCUCCUUCUGCCUCCGCCUUUGGGGAGGGACUUCGCCGCCCCGCACCAGCAUCCAGGGUCGAGGUUCUCCACUCCUAUGCCUGUGACGCAGGCCGAGACCCCUCCCCUCCGGUCUCGGAUCCACAUUCUGCCCCAUCUCAUCAGUCUUGGCUCUGAUCUCCUUGCCCAGUGCCACGCUGGUCUACUUGGCCAGGACCGGGUGGUCGUUUCUGUUCUACUUCUCCAAGUGAGGACCCCCCUCCUGUGUUCCCUGGUUCCUGAGAAGGACAAGAAGGUCAGCACCCAGCUUCCUCCAGCAAGAAAAUGCCAUCGGGGGAGGGGCCUACAAGGUCAGAGGAGCCAGGGACUAUGACUACAUGACUAGAGAGCUGACAACAUAAGAACCAACCCUGCCCUGUGUGACAAACACCUAAGAGAACAGCUGACCUGCAGCCCCAAGUACAGACUCCACUGUGCACUGUGUCUAAACGUUCCAGCUGUGUCAGAUCGCAUAGCCUGGGCUGAAAGACACCAGGACACUGGUCCUCGCUCUCAAAGGGUGGCCUGUGGUAUGAGGCAGGGCUGGACUUAAGGCCCUGGGUAGAAUCUUCCCCUGCAGGAGUUCAUAACAAAUCAAAGACCUCCAGCAGCACCUAUUUUGUGGUGAAUCCAAGCCUCCCUCCCCCCAUAAAGCAGCCUAUUGUUUUAUUUAGGUUUUGUUACAAUCCAGCAGUGGAGAGAAAAGGGUUAGGCAGGCCAACAACAGACACUUGCUGUAGACUGUACAGUAAACCGUCUUUAUUUCUCUUGGUUAAAAACAAUGAUUUCAACCUGA